UACGGGGGGGGCAAGCGUUGUUCGGAAUUAUUGGGUUUAAAGGGUGCGUAGGCGGCUUUGUAAGUCAGUGGUGAAAUACUCUAGCUUAACUAGAGGGGUGCCAUUGAUACUGCGGAGCUUGAGUACAGAUGAGGUAGGCGGAAUUGACGGUGUAGCGGUGAAAUGCAUAGAUAUCGUCAAGAACACCGAUAGCGAAGGCAGCUUACUGGGCUGUAACUGACGCUGAGGCACGAAAGUGUGGGGAUCAAACAGG
rnacentral:rRNA from 1 species